AUUGAACGCUGGCGGCAGGCCUAACACAUGCAAGUCGAACGGAACCUUCGGGUUUAGUGGCGAACGGGUGAGUAAUGCCUAGGAAUCUGCCUAUUAGUGGGGGUUAACGAAUCGAAAGGUUCGCUAAUACCGCAUACGUCCUACGGGAGAAAGAGGGGGAUCUUCGGACCUCUUGCUAAUAGAUGAGCCUAGGUCGGAUUAGCUAGUUGGUGAGGUAAAGGCUCACCAAGGCGACGAUCUGUAGCUGGUCUGAGAGGAUGGCCAGCCACACUGGAACUGAGACACGGUCCACACUCCUACGGGAGGCAGCAGUGGGGAAUAUUGGACAAUGGGCGCAAGCCUGAUCCAGCCAUGCCGCGUGUGUGAAGAAGGCCCUCGGGUUGUAAAGCACUUUAAGCGAGGAGGAAGGUCAUCAUACUAAUAUUAUGAUGAAUUGACGUUACUCGCAGAAUAAGCACCGGCUAACUCUGUGCCAGCAGCCGCGGUAAUACAGAGGGUGCAAGCGUUAAUCGGAAUUACUGGGCGUAAAGCGCGCGUAGGCGGUUUGUUAAGUCGGAUGUGAAAUCCCUGGGCUCAACCUAGGCACUGCAUCCGAUACUGGCUGACUA
rnacentral:rRNA from 1 species